rnacentral:rRNA from 1 species
GACGAACGCUGGCGGCGUGCCUAAUACAUGCAAGUCGAACGCAGUGGGGACGGUUUAGUAACACGUGGGUAACCUCCCAUCAGAGUACAUAACACUUGGAAACAUGUGCUUAAGAGUGACUGAUGGAUGGACCCGCGGUGCAUUUGCUAGUUGGUGAGGUAACGGCUCACCAAGGCUACGAUGCAUAGCGGGACUGAGAGUGGGUCGGGCGACACUGGAACUGAGACACGGCCAAGGCUCCUACGGGAGGCAGCAGGUGGGAAGCUGGGGCAAUGGACGAAAGUCUGCAGAAUCAAAGCCGCGUGGGUGAAGAAGGUUUUCGGUUAUUAAAACACUUUUGUUUGUGAGGCGGUAUCUUUCCAGAAAGCCCCGGCUAACUGCGUGCCAGCAGCCGCGGUAAUAC